UACGGGGGGGGCAAGCGUUGUUCGGAAUUACUGGGCGUAAAGGGCUCGUAGGCGGCCAACUAAGUCGGACGUGAAAUCCCUCGGCUUAACCGGGGAACUGCGUCCGAUACUGGUUGGCUUGAGUUUGGGAGAGGGGUGCGGAAUUCCAGGUGUAGCGGUGAAAUGCGUAGAUAUCUGGAGGAAUACCGGUGGCGAAGGCGGCAUCCUGGACCGACAUUGACGCUGAGGAGCGAAAGCUAGAGGAGCAAACGGG
rnacentral:rRNA from 1 species